rnacentral:tRNA from 1 species
GCUGCUAUAGCUCAGUGGUAGAGCACCUCCUUGGUAAGGAGGAGGUCCUGGGUUCGAGUCCCAGUAGCAGCUCCA